rnacentral:rRNA from 1 species
GAGCGGAUGAGUGGAGCUUGCUCCUUGAUUCAGCGGCGGACGGGUGAGUAAUGCCUAUGAAUCUGCCUGGUAUUGUGCGAUAACGUUUCGAAAGGAACGCUUAUACCGCAAACGUCCUACAGCAGAAAGUGGGGGAUCUUCAGACCUCACGCUAUCACAUGAGCCUAAGUCGAAUUAGCUAGUUGGUGGUGUAAUGGCCCACCAAGGCCACGAUCCCUAACUGGUCUGAGACGAUGAUCAUUCUCACUGGAACUGAGACACAGUCCAGACUCCUACUCCAAGCAGCAGUGGGGAAUAUUGAACAAUGAGCAAAAGCCUGAUCCAGCCAUGCCGCGUGUGUGAAGAAGGUCUUCGGAUUGUAAAUCUCUUUACCUUGGGAUGAAGGGCAAUAAGUUAAUACCUUGCUGUUUUGACGUUACCAACAGAAUAAGCACCGGCUAACUUCGUGCCCGCAGCCGCGGUCAUACGAAGGGUGCAAGCGUUAAUCGGAAUUACUGGUCGUAAAGCGCGCGUAGGUGGUUCUGCAAGUUGGAUGUGAAAGCCCCGGGCUCAACCUGGGAAUUGCAUCCGAAACUACUGAUCUAGAGUACGGUAGAGGGUGAUGGAAUUUCCUGUGUAGCGGUGAAAUGCGUAUAUAUAGAAAUGAACACCAGUGGCGAAGGCGACCACCUGGACUGAUACUGACACUGAGGUGCG